rnacentral:rRNA from 1 species
CAGCAGCCGCGGUAAUACGUAGGUGGCAAGCGUUGUCCGGAAUUAUUGGGCGUAAAGGGCUCGCAGGCGGUUUCUUAAGUCUGGUGUGAAAGCCCCCGGCUCAACCGGGGAGUGUCAUUGGAAACUGGGAAACUUGAGUGCAGAAGAGGAGAGUGGAAUUCCACGUGUAGCGGUGAAAUGCGUAGAGAUGUGGAGGAACACCAGUGGCGAAGGCGACUCUCUGGUCUGUAACUGACGCUGAGGAGCGAAAGCGUGGGGAGCGAACAGGAUUAGAUACCCCAGUAGUCCCUGUCUCUUAUAC